AAAACAGUUUGACAUUUUUACUUCAAAAGCACGGCAGUAGUUUACCAGCAAGGACUGAACUCAUUAAUGCUGCCCUAUUCGUGCUGCUACCCAUUAGAGAUUUCAGUGUUGCUGUUAAAAAACAUUUUUAAGAGCCAACUGUUCCACUGCUUUGAAAUCUCUCUGCCCAGGAGUGAAUCUUUGCAUUCAUUUUCAAAACAGUUUUUUCGUGUGGAAGCUAUGCAAGUAAGUUGGUGCACGUUCAUUAGUCUCCAAAGACAAAUGAAAAAUGAAGGGCUUCCUUAUUUGAGACCGCUUUACUUUUCUGCUCACCACCUCCUUUCCCAUUUCUUUUUCUUAUUUGUCCUCCAGCAGCAGCUGCUGCAGCCGUGCGAUGGUGUUGAAGCGGGAUGUUGGGUGAAAUGCAGACAUCGUGUGGAGCCGUGAGAGUGCCAGCACGGCACAGCACGUGGGAACAUGCUCAGGUCUGUACCAGUGAGAAGAAACAGGAAAGGAUGUGAGUUGUGGGCGUCCCACUGCCUCUGCCUUGCUGGUUCCUGGGGAUGUAGGAGGAGGAGGAGGGCUCCAGCGGGUAAGAUGUAGCCAUCCAUUUUGCUACUGCUAUAACAUCUUGUGUCUGAGGUACCACUCCCAGGUGGCUUUCCUAAGCCCUCAAAUUUCAAACACUGCCGGGGAGUUCUGUAAUUCACUUCACAGUAAAUGUAAACACUGCUUAAUGGAUGGCUUUAAUGCUGCCUUUCUGUUUCCGUGAUUUUUCGUUGGUCACUGCUGCAGUGCUGGAGCUUGCCCAGGGUCUGCACACAGGCUGCCAUGCAGCCAAGGGCUUCAGAAUCCAUGCCGUUUCACUUCAAGCUGAUUAUGGUUUUUGUCUGAAAUAUUGUUGUAUUAUUUUUAAAUUCAGUACUGAGCUACCCAAACUAGCACUUACCUUGUAAAUGCAUUGGUUUUGAAGAGAAACUUUCUCAAGCAGAAGGAAUUUGUGUAUAGAAGGGAAAAAAAAAAUCUUCAGUGAUUAGGGCACUCGUGUAUGGGAGGCCUACAGUCAGCAAAGAGCUGUUAUUUAUGAACUCGUCACUAAACCUGCGAGGGAAUUGAGCAGAGCAAGGAUUUGAACCAGACUAGUUUCCCAAUCAUUGGUUCAUGGUCUCAGUGUAUACUGUUAGUGCCAAUUCAUUUCGGAGGGCUCGCUAAAUAUUCAUGAAGUUUGGGAUAAAACCCCCAUAAGACAGCAGUUACAGGAGCUCGAUGAGGUGUAGGCUGCUUAUGUUCAAGCCCUUGAUUCAAGCUGAUCAGAGAAAAGCCUCAUGUUGGAGUACCAUCUCCCACACAGCGAGCUUAUGUGCAAUGUUGCUCUCCGUUCAGCAUGAUGUAGAAAAAAACCCCAACAGUCAAACUUCCUUUUCUUGCUACUCCAAUUCUGCCUACCCCAAUGUACUAGAAAUGAAUAAAAUUAAAAUUGGGACAUACAUUUAUAUUCCCAUUUUCCCUCCUAGAUCUCUUCACUGGAUAAGCCUGCUUUCAAAUUUGCCACAGUGCAUUUCUUCAAGAUUGCCCUGAAAGGAGUAAUUUUAUUUACCUUCAAAAUUAAAGUUGGAGGGAAUGGAAGCUGCCCUAAUAUUAACUGUAUGAACAGAAAGUGUUGCUUUGAGGUCAAGGGGAAGUGCUGGACCUCAGUGCUCAAAAUAUCACCAAAUUGUGUCAUGAAAACAGAUGCGCUUUGCCGCUGCUUUCCACGUGUGGGGAAUUUUCUCAAGAUUUUUAAAUCAGUUUUCUCUGACCACAAAGGCUUUUUUUCCCAUUCGUUUACUUUCCACCUUUCAGAAAAGACCAUAGUUUUUUGUUGGCGUUUUUUUUCUUCAUUGUUUUCUUCUGGUUUUCUGGCAGCCUCGCACGGGCCCAGCGCUGGGAGCAGGAGCUCAGCAUUGCCCACCACAGCCUCCUUCCUACAGCACAGCCAUGGCUGGUGCGAUGUGCUCAGGGAAGUCAGGAGUACAAGGGUCACAAGGAACGUCUGUGGGAAGCUUAGUUUUUAUCGAUAAUUGUAAGUUCCUCUGUUCUGGGCUUAUGCUCGAUCUUAGUGUUAUUCUAAUGAAAACUGUAAACACAUAAACUUCCUUAGCUAGGAAAUCAAAAGAUAAUGGCCAAGGCGCUGUGCCCUGCCAGCUCUGGGAGCUACCUGAGGCGGUACCACUGCCCAGCAGCCCCUGGAGCUAACCUGACACUGCAGGAACCUGCUGCUCUGCUGGGCCUUGAUCCACGGAGCAGGCUCUCCACAUAAACCAUGUGGGGAACUAUACCUGUGCAAGUAGGAAGAAAAGUAAAACAUAUGUUACCAGGUUCUAGAAAAGAUCUGAAUAACCAACAAAGUUUUCUGUACUUUAUCCGAGCACUGAACAACUGCGCUGCACCAUCAGAGUAAUGUGAGAAGUUGUACACAUAGAGAGGUGACUGCAUCAACUGCAGCGGGGUGCAGCUUUCACCCCAGGCUCCUGAAAGUCAAGGAUGCUUCUCAGAGAUGGUGCUAACAUGAUGAACUUUGCUGAAAUCAGAUAUGUUCCACUGCAAUAGGAGCAGUUGAAAUGACAGCAGCAGUAAACCCCAAGGCUCCUCCAGAAUCAUACUACUGUAGCUAGG